rnacentral:lncRNA from 1 species
UGCCAUUAUUUUCUUAAGUCUACAAAUCAACAAAAUAAUCAAACAAAUUCUUAUUUGUAGCCUUUGUGAAUUUCUGAAUUGUAAAAUGUUCCCAAUGAAAACUGAACAAGGGUCUCUUGAGCUAUUCGAAGCUGGCUCUGGCAUACCACUGACUUGGAGUCAGGAAAACCUGGAUUCAAGUCUCUCACACCAGUCAGGAAACCAGAUUCCUGACUCUGACACAUAUUGGCUAUAAGAAAAAUCACUUAGCCUUUUAGUGCCCUAAGCAACUCUCUGAGACUCUGAGUUAUAGAUAAGCUGCCUGUUUUUCAUUGGAGGGGGGGAGGUUUCCAUUUGGAAAAUUUCCUACAUGGAUGAAAUCACAGGUCUGGGUCCUUUUUCCUUCAGCCCCUAAAAAAAAUUUAAAGCCCUUUGGGAGUUGUUGGUGAUACAAAGUUGAAAAAAAAUCACUUACUGCCUUAAAGAAGCUUAUAAUUUAGUACAAAGGAUAAGAUAGGUGCACACUAUGAGGUAAAACAUGAUAAAGUCAAAGAUGAUUUUGGAUUGGGAGAUCAGAAAAGGCUUUAUGAUGGAACCUUUAUGAUAGAGGUUCUAUGAUGGAGCCUUUAUGAUAGAGGUUCUACGAUGGAGCCUUUAUGAAAAGGCUCUGAGAUGGAACCUUAGUGUUGGAGGUUCUGUGAUGGAGGUGUCUCCUGAGCUAGGCCUAGAAGGAAAAGAAGGAUUUGAACAGGAAGAAAUAUGAAGGGAGAGUUGUCCAGACAUGAUAAGUGGUCUACAUAGAGGCAUAGAGAUGAGACAGGAUGAGACCAGAAAUACAGAAUGGAAUUCCCUGAAGGUCAAGGAGAUUCCAUAGUGAUGGGGGUUUAUGAACCAUGCAAGGUUCUGAGACUAGUAGAACAGAAUUCUACAUGUUGGGAUCAAAUGGACUUUAACGGUUACGACCAUGGUUUCCAGGCUGAUGGAACUGAGAGAUCCUGAAAUUGCAUUCCUGUCACAUCUCCUAUUUCUGUCACUGCUUCCAAGGAAACAUAAAAAGUUUAUCUUUGUCUCCAUAUUCAUUUUAUGCCCUAUUUUCCUAGCAAUCGGCCAUCUUGUCACCAACCCCCUUUCUGCCAAGCUGCAUAUCCUGCCACUAUCUACUCGUUCCAAUUCUGGAACCACAAUCAUAUCAAUUCUGCCAUUGCUUCUGGAAAGGGUAUGCCACUUUAUUCCCCCACUUGUGACUUUCUAAAUCAAAAGUCUCCCUGAGUACCAUUUCCUCAUGUGUGUUAUCUCUACCAUUCUACCAUUAGAAUAUAAAGUCUUUGAGGUCAGGG